GGAAAGGCGAGGGUAACAGCCCACGCCGCAGCGAGCCUUUAUACUUGUGCGCUGGGGUGUCUGAAAAAGCCAGCCGGCGGUGGGGCUUCCACGCCGCUGUGUGUCGACUGACCCCGCGAACUUCAAACGAUGGCGACUGAGCGCAUCCUGUUGGAGCUGGAGCUGAUAAGUGUUGAACAAGGGUUACUUUUAUUGAAAUCACUGCAACGCAGGAAAGAGAGGAGACGGCGGCGGAGGAGGUGGUGUGUGCGACCACUGAACGGACGGAGGCAGAAGGAGGGUGAAUUUUCUGUGCUUGUCCGGCCGCUGAGAGACACGGACGAGGAGAUGCAUUUCAUAUAUUUCCUGAUGUCGGCAGGUAGAUUUGACGGCCUGGUUCGCCGUCUCCGGCCGUUCAUUUGGCAUGGGUGCACGCACAGCAUGCCUGUAGACAUUAGUCAGAGACUGGCAGUCACCAUUCGGGUUCUCGCUUCGGGUGACAGUCAGCAGGCUGUGGCGGCGAGAUACGGGCUGGGGUCGAGCACGGUGUCCUCCAUCGUUUCGGAGGUCUGCCGCGCUUUAUGGAAAGCGUUGCGGCCGCAGUUCCUUCCCUGCCCUUCAGUCGCCCAGUGGGAAGCUAUCGCGGCGGAGUUUUGGCAACGGUGGGACUUCCCGAACUGGAUCGGCAGCAUAGACGCGAGGCAUGUGAACCUCAAGGCAUCGCCGCACGCCGGCAGCAACCGCAGGGGCGCCCGCUCCGUUGUCCUGAUGGCUACCCGCGACGCCAGGUACCGGUUCACCAUGGUGGACGUAGUGGGAUACGGACGGGAGAGUGACGGGGACAUCUUCAAGGAGAGCAGGCUUGGUUCUAUGCUGCUGGAAGACAAACUGAACCUGCCCCCACCAGCCAAUCUUCCUGGAACAGCAGUCAAAAUCCCGCAUGUAAUCGUUGGUAGCGACUCGUUCCCCCUCCACAGCAAUCUCAUGCGUCCUUUCCCAGGAGACGGGCACUGGGCCUAUGGAAGUGAGGCAAAGCAGCACCAAUAUCACGGACGCCGUACAGAGGGGGAGGUGUCUGCUGUCCUGAGGAUAAACCCCGAGGGCCUCGGACCCUGAGGGAGGCAAGUGCAGGGGCCCGAGCAGAGACGGGUACAUCACCGAAGACUCGACAGAUAGACGGUGGAGAGCAGGUUCCGAUGACAAGAGGACACAGAGGGUUGUCGGCCCUCCAUCAUGGGCACCAGUUCCCCACCACCAAGGACAGCUUUAAAAGGCUGCAUCCAUGACAGACAACAGCAACGGUUGAAAAGGCCACUCAACCGCCCCCCCACCCCGUAUUAAAACGGUCCCUGAGGAUUUACCCUGGGCCCAAGAUAUCGAGGCAAUCAGAACGCAGGCUACACCUGGUUAGGAGAUUUGCCAAGUCGCCAAGGACUCACUCGACGUGCCGUGGAGAGCAUUCCGACUGGCACAAAGGCUGAAACGGACGAUGUCGAGGAGCUUGCAGAGGAUUGUUAACUCAGCUCCAUCGCGGGCACCGUCGAGAGGUGGCUUCCAUCAUCGGCCCUCACCACCCCCUGCACUUCCAUGAGAGGGGACUCAAAGCUUUAAGAACGGCUCCUUCCCCUCGGCCCAUGAACACCACCUCACCAUUCCUCGUUUCUCGUUGUAGCUUACCGGAAACGCUUUACGCCUUGUUCUGCACAGCUGAGGCCGCAAAACUUCAAAACUCACCGCUUGAAUCAGAUAAUAAACCCGAGUCCGACUCUGGUCCCAGGGGACGGGCAGAGGCAGGGGGUUUUACCUGAUGGCUGACCCCCUCCAGCUCAGUCCCUUGGCUAUUUCCUGUCCGCUCCUGGGUCUGACCACCCUGCUGUCGGGAGCGUUACUAAACCGCCAGAGGGUAGCCAGGACUCAAGGGCUCAAGUUACGGGGGUGGAGGUUGGCAGGCUGAAACCCUCGGAGUGCAGGGGGCUGACGGAUGGCCUUGUCGAGGUGAAUUAAAUCAUAGCAUCAUAGGUAGAGUGAGUGCACACUGCCUUUUCCCCAGAAUCAGUCUCAGUCCACAGCGUGAAAUAUGUCGCUAUGCGGCAGAGGUACAUUACAAUAAGAAUUUAAUUAUACUAAGUAUAAUAGGUAUUUUAAAAAGUUAAAUAAGUCGUUCAAAAAGAGGGGGAAAAGUGGUGAGGUAGUGUUCAUGGGCUCAACAUCCAUUCAGAAACCGGAUGGCAGAGAGGAAGAAGCUGUUCCUGAAUCAUUGAGUUUGGCUCCUGUACCUCCUUCCUAAUGGUAGCAAUGAGAAGAGGGUGAUGAGGGUCCUUAAUAAUGGAUGCCACCCUGUGGUGAACUACAUAUACAUGUCUGGACACGCCCCCCCCUCCCCGCUGACUGCUCCUGUGGCCCCUCCCACAGACCCCGGUAUAAAGGCGAAUGGGGACACCGCCCCGGCCUCAGUCUCCAGGAUGUAGUGUGGUGGUCAUUUGCUGCUUGUUCUUUCUUCCAGCCAAUAAAAGCCUGUAUCUCGC